UACAGAGGGGGCAAGCGUUAUUCGGAAUUAUUGGGCGUAAAGGGCGCGUAGGCGGAUCUUUAAGUCGGGGGUGAAAGCCUGUGGCUCAACCACAGAAUUGCCUUCGAUACUGGGGAUCUCGAGACCGGAAGAGGUGAGUGGAACUGCGAGUGUAGAGGUGAAAUUCGUAGAUAUUCGCAAGAACACCAGUGGCGAAGGCGGCUCACUGGUCCGGUUCUGACGCUGAGGCGCGAAAGCGUGGGGAGCAAACAGG
rnacentral:rRNA from 1 species